GACGUAGGAGGCGAGCGUUGUCCGGAGUUACUGGGCGUAAAGGGCGCGCAGGCGGCCGCGCGCGCCGGGGGUGAAAGGUGGCGGCUCAACCGCCAGACGGCCCCCGGGACGGCGCGGCUGGAGGGCGGCAGAGGCCGGUGGAAUUCCCGGUGUAGUGGUGAAAUGCGUAGAGACCGGGAGGAACACCCGCGGCGAAGGCGGCCGGCUGGGCCGACCCUGACGCUGAGGCGCGAAGGCCCGGGGAGCGAACGGG
rnacentral:rRNA from 1 species